CUGUGGGGUCUGCAGGAUAUCGCCCAUGGGAGACGCUGGGGAACCUGAGAGGAAGCUGAGGGGGGAGAAGGCCCAGGUGCAUUGGGUCCGCUCCUGAAUUCUGGACUCACAUUUCCAACAUCUCUACUUGAAGGUCUCAUGAGGAGCUUGAACACAAGGAACAUCAAACUCAAUGGCUAGAACUUAUCUAGACCUCCUUCUUACAUUCCUAUCAUCACCAGCUGACCUCUUCAUCAGAAGACUGGCAAAUGAUCACUCUACUGUAGCACCAGCUGAGACAGUUGAUAUAUUCUGUACUUAGAUUCCUUAUCAUAUUUACUGGUGUAUGUAUCUGCCUUUCCACCUAGAACAUGCACUAUAUGACAGGAAAAACAUUUUUUAAAAAGA